GGGCCAUAGCUCAGUGGUAUAUCAUACGUCUUGCAUGCAGAAAGUCCCAGGUUCAAUCCCUGCUGGCAUCC